CAUAAUUGAAUUUUCCUCAACAAAAUGCUAAAAACUUUAUGCAGGAGUAAAAGUGGACUUGGAAUCAGAGAGCUCUAUUAGCUUUCAGAGUAUUGAACCCAAAUUGUUCACUUUAUAUUAUUUUUCAGUAUCAGUCUCUGGUGAAUCAGUUAUUAUUGCCUCUCAACUCCAUCUCAUCCUUUCAUUACCUACCACGUAGUAGUGGAGUUGUAGGGAGCAUGCUGUGGAGCCAGUCUAUAGAGGGCACUGAAGGUAAAUUGCAGGAGGAAAAGUCUUUCCUCCUGGUUCUGGUGUUUUAGCUUUGGUUUCUUCUGGAUCCUGCUCCACUUGCAAAAACAUUCUACCUAAGUCUGCAAUUCCUCAGUAAACUCACAGCUCCAGGGCAAACCUGGUGAUCAUCUCACUGAACUCUGCUGACCCUCCAGAAGCAGACAUUUGCAGCCCAGCAUUUGUGGUUCCCUGUCCACAACAAAACUUCCAAAUCUCAAUUAAAUCUGAGUGCUCACCCCUCAGCAUGUGCAAGCCUACAUCCAAGAAAGUUCUUUUCUAGAGUCUUCCCUAAGAGUCCACUGCACAACCCAAGCCUCACACAGCUGUGCAUUGAGCUGGUUUUCUGCACUCAACAUGUGCAUUGCCUGCCACCAGCCUGAGCCACCCUGCCCUCUAGCGGCAGUUCCUGCUUUCUCAGGGACCAUGGCAGUUCUGGCUGGGGCUGCAACUGCAACUUCUCCAAUAAGGUCUAAAUCCCAUCCUUAUGGAGGUGUCUUCUCUUCCAAGUUCAUUCCUUGUGUACUCUUCCUCAAUCCUGGUUACUUUUAACACUUUUAUUGAAGUGUAAUUGACAUAAAAUCAAUUGUGAAUAUUUAAAGUGUACAAUUUGAUAAAUAUUGACAUGUGAAUACAGCUGAGAAACUAUCACCACAAUGAAGAUAGUGAGAGAAUCCAUCACUCUGAAAAAUUUCCUCCUAUUCAUUAUAAUCCCCUCUCCUGUUCCAUAACAGGCACCUUUUCUAAGGCAAUUUUUGAUGUGCUUUUUGUCUCUGUAGAUUAGUUUGUGUUCUCUAGAUUUUUACAUAAAUUUAAUCAUACAGUACAUAUUCUAUGUUUC
rnacentral:lncRNA from 1 species